GUUGACCUCGGAUCAGGUAGGAAUACCCGCUGAACUUAAGCAUA
rnacentral:rRNA from 46 species